CGCCUAAGGAUGGGUCUGCGGCCUAUCAGGUAGUAGUGGGUGUAGCGUACCUACUAGCCUACGACGGGUACGGGUUGUGAGAGCAAGAGCCCGGAGAUGGAUUCUGAGACACGAAUCCAGGCCCUACGGGGUGCAGCAGGCGCGAAAACUUUACAAUGCUGGCAACAGCGAUAAGGGAACCUCGAGUGCCAGGUUACAAAUCUGGCUGUCGAGAUGCCUAAAAAGCAUUUCAUAGCAAGGGCCGGGCAAGACCGGUGCCAGCCGCCGCGGUAACACCGGCGGCUCGAGUGGUAACCGUUAUUAUUGGGUCUAAAGGGUCUGUAGCCGGCCGGAUAAGUCUCUUGAGAAAUCUGGCAGCUUAACUGUCAGGCUUUCAGGAGAUACUGUCUGGCUCGAGGCCGGGAGAGGUGAGAGGUACUUCAGGGGUAGGGGUGAAAUCUUGUAAUCCUUGAAGGACCACCAGUGGCGAAGGCGUCUCACCAGAACGGACCUGACGGCAAGGGACGAAAGCUAGGGGCACGAACCGGAUUAGAUACCCGGGUAGUCCUAGCCGUAAACGAUACUCGCUAGGUGUCGGCCACGGUGCGACCGUUGUCGGUGCCGUAGGGAAGCCGUGAAGCGAGCCACCUGGGAGGUACGGCCGCAAGGCUGAAACUUAAAGGAAUUGGCGGGGGAGCACCACAACGGGUGGAGCUUGCGGUUUAAUUGGAUUCAACGCCGGAAAUCUUACCGGGACCGACAGCAAUAUGAAGGCCAGGCUGAAGACUUUGCCGGAUUAGCUGAGAGGUGGUGCAUGGCCCGUCGUCAGUUCGUACUGUGAAGCAUCCUGUUAAGUCAGGCAACGAGCGAGACCCGAAUC
rnacentral:rRNA from 1 species